rnacentral:rRNA from 2 species
ACCUCAAAUCAGGUAAGAAUACCCGCUGAACUUAAGCAUAUCAAUAAGCGGAGGAAAAGAAAAUAACAAUGAUUCCCUCAGUAACGGCGAGCGAAGAGGGAUAAGCUCAAAUUUUAAAUCUGCUGGGUUUCACCUAACAGAGUUGUAUUUUGAAGAAACGUUUUCUGCGUCCCGGGUUAGCCUAAGUCCUUUGGGAUAAGGUAUCAUGGAGGGUGAGAAUCCCGUUCAUGGUUAAUCUUAAGGAUGCUCUACGAUACGUUUUCCAAGAGUCGAGUUGUUGGGAUGCAGCUCAAAAUGGGAGGUAAAUUUCUCCUAAGGCUAAAUAUUGGCGAGAGACCGAUAGCGAACAAGUACCGUGAGGGAAAGAUGAAAAGAACUUUGAAAAGAGAGUUAAACAGUACGUGAAAUUGUUGAAAGGGAAACGAUUGAAGUCAGUCAUACCAACGGGAAAUCAACCUUUUGAACUUUGUCUCGUGGGUUCGAAGAGUUUAAACGCCUUCGGGUUCGCGAGAUUGGGAUCUUCUGGUGUACUUUCUCGUACGGUUAGUCAACAUCGGUUUUGAAUGUCAUAAAAUGACUGGAGGAAUGUGGCUUCGAUCUCGUAUCGAAGUGUUAUAGCCUUUGGUAGAUGUGAUGUUUGAGACCGAGGAUUGCAACGGAUACCCUUUAAGGGCUAUUCGUCUGAUCUCUGAUACGUUGCCUUGACGUUGAAAGCUUGCUUAUGAUGUUAGGGUAUUACGGUCAAAAGGUUAGAACGGAUUAAAUUCGUUAAGGAUGUUGACGUAAUGACUUUAAACGACCCGUCUUGAAACACGGACCAAGGAGUCUAACAUAUAUGCGAGUGUUUGGGUGGUUAAACCCUUGCGCGUAAUGAAAGUGAUUUUGGUGAGAUCCGGGAAAAAUUUUUCGGAGCAUCAUCGACCGAUCAGGAUAUUUUUUGAUAGAUUUGAGUGAGAGCAUAUCUGCUAGGACCCGAAAGAUGGUGAACUAUGCCUGAAUAGGGCGAAGCCAGAGGAAACUCUGGU